GAACCAUUAAAGAAGCUGAGAAAAGGGGAAACAACUCAGUUAGGAAACUUGCUGAGGAGAACCGAGAUAAGAUUCAAAAAGCUGUUCAGAACCCUGGAAAAAUAACCCUUGCUGACGACUUUACUGAACUUGAAAGGCUGAUGGCAGAAAUGACCUUGGGAGACAAUUAAUGGUCAGUUUACACUGCUGGCUGACCAACGAUUCUGUUGCUGUCCACAAAUCCACCAAUACCUGUAUAGCACACUAUCAAUUUUUAAUUCUAAUACAUUCUUUAAAUGUAUUUCUUAACACUCCGGCCGUCUCCCACCGAGGUAGGGUGACCCGACAAAAAAGAAAACACUUUCACUGUCACUCGUUCAAUGAUUAUCUUACCAGGAGCAUGAUGACAUUACAGUUCAGACGACCUUCCAAACCGCUUCCAUCACAACACAAUGUAUUUUCCACCUCCAGGACUCAAACCUAACUAACCACUUUCAUGAAUUUCAAAAAAAUAAUGAUAACUUGCUGACACUCCAACAACACGUCAAAUCACAAAGACAACUUCUCUCUACUGAUGCCUAUCUAAGAG